rnacentral:hammerhead_ribozyme from 1 species
AUCCAACUGACGAGUCCCAUAUAGAACGAAACGCACGUCUUGGAU